rnacentral:lncRNA from 1 species
AUCCUGGGUGUGUCAGUGAGGUUGUUGCCCAAAAGAGAUUAACAUUUGAGUCAGUGGGCUGGGGAAGGCAGAUCAACCCUUAAUCUGGUGGGCACAAUCUAAUCAGCUUUCAGCAAAUAUAAAGCAGGCAGAAAAACGUGAAAAGGCAAGAGGGGCCUAGCCUCCCAGCCUACAUCUUUCUCCCUUGCUGGAUGCUUCCUGCCCUCAAAAGUCUGACUCCAAGUCCUUCGGUUUUGGAACUUGGACUGGCUCUCCUUCCUCCUCAGAUUGCAGACAGCCUAUUGUGGGACCUUGUGAUCAUCAUAAUGUAGAUGCCUCUCCUGGAGACUCUUUGAAUCUACUUCAUGAGAUCCAUGACACUGUCUGCUAUGUCGUUGCAGAGCUUCUUGCAUGGAAUGAUGGUGAUGUACUUGCUCAUGUCAGAUACAUUUUCCUAUGAGGUAUGCCAGCAGGUGAAAAGAAUGCCUUCAUCAGACAGAAAACAGAGAUUGAGCUUGUCCACUAAAAUCACGUAUGUGGAAGUGAUAGAUCUAAUUGACACUGUUGCAAUUUUUGAGCAGCAAGACUACCUGCACAUUAGAAAAAAAAAAAAAAACGUUAUUGAGAAGGGGAGUUUAGUGGGGCUCACUGGUGAAAACUGAAGUUAAUGUCAGCAUUAUGUUCAUUGUUCUCAGCAUGGAAGCCUUUGAUUCUGAUUAGAAGAUUUAUCCUUUGGCAUAAGAAGAUAAUUUUAACUCAGCAAUGUGUCAUAAAGGGUGGAUAAUUCUUCAACAAUAUUAAAAUAAUACUGUACUACUUCUUUUUACUACUGAACUAAGAUCAAAUCUCUGAAAAUAAAUUCGUGGACAUUCAUUUACUACUUUUGCUCAUCUGUCUAUCGCUUGCAGAGAAGGAAUAGUCUGAAUCAUUAUACAUACAUCUUGGGAAUCACUGCUAUAAAGAAAAUCACAGUAGUCCUAUUCCUUUGUAAAUAAAACAUGAAGGGUAAUCAACUAAGGGAUUUAUUUUCUUCUGUCUUAGAAAGAAACAACAAAAAUACAAUGUCUCCUUGUUUUGUUUCUAGAUGCUGUCAUAUCUGUGUGAGAACCACAGAAUUGCAGCAACCACUCUAGUAUCAGGAAGAGAAUUAAAGAGCCAUGCUCAAGAUGGCAAAGAGGAAAAAGGAGCAAUCAUUGUUCAAUAACCCAAUGAUAUUGCCAAUUCACUGAAUUAAUAAAACCUGGAGCCACACCUACUCCUUUUUUUUUCUUUUUCUUUUUUUUUAAAUUAUUACUAUCCUUUAAGUUUUAGGGUACAUGUGCACAAUGUGCAGGUUUGUUACAUAUGUAUACAUGUGCCAUGUUGGUGUGCUGCACCCAUUAACUCCUCAUUUAGCAUUAGGUAUAUCUCCUAAUGCUAUCCCUCCCGCCUCCCCCCACCCUACAACAGGCCCCGAUGUGUGAUGUUCCC